rnacentral:rRNA from 1 species
AAUAGAUACCCGGGUAGUCCACGCCCUAAACGAUGCAUAUUUGGUGUGGGCCAUUCAUUUGGUCUGUGCCGGAGCUAACGCGUUAAAUAUGCCGCCUGGGGAGUACAGUCGCAAGGCUGAAACUCAAAGGAAUUGACGGGGGCCCGCACAAGCGGUGGAGCAUGUGGUUUAAUUCGACGCAACGCGAAGAACCUUACCUGGGCUCGAAAUGCUUACGACCAUCUUUGGAAACAGAGACUUCCCGCAAGGGACGUGAGUAUAGGUGCUGCAUGGCUGUCGUCAGCUCGUGUCGUGAGAUGUUGGGUUAAGUCCCGCAACGAGCGCAACCCUUGUCCUGUGUUGCCAUACCGAAAGGUGGAACUCGCAGGAGACCGCCAGGGAUAACCUGGAGGAAGGUGGGGAUGACGUCAAGUCCUCAUGGCCUUUAUGUCCAGGGCUACACACGUGCUACAAUGGACGGUACAAAGCGCUGCCAACCCGCGAGGGGAGCCAAUCGCAAAAAGCCGGUCCGGUUCGGAUUGAAGGCUGAAACUCGCCUU